GGGGGCGUAAAGGUUUCGACGGGGAUCGUGAGUUAUGGUAAGCGGGUAGUGGUUGUCGACCACUAUAAAACGACAAACCUUUUAAAAUUAAACGACAACAAUAAAGUUGCUCUCGCUGCUUAAUUAAGCGGCCGUCCCGCCCGAUAGUACCGCGGAUCGGUGUCGGGGCGUGUAAGAAGCGGUGAACGUGAACGGAGGCUUGCUACCGCCUCCGUCAUGACGGGGUAGCUACCGUAGUCAAGAGCCUGCCUGCCGGCGCUUGAUGAGGGGAAUCUCAAAAGACAGCCUGCACCCGGAGAAAGCUGUGGCAAGUGGUUUUCGGACACGAGUUCGACUCUCGUCGCCUCCACCA
rnacentral:tmRNA from 1 species